GCUUUAUUCGGGACAAAUGGAGGAAGUGGACGAAACGGAAGCGGUGCCUCAGGUCGGGUAAAAUUAUAUAGAAGAAAACGGAUGGUGCAUCACGUGGAAUGAAAUUGGAGAGUUUGCCCGUCUUCCAUUAUUAUUGAAGUUAUAGACUCGUUUCAGAUUUACUGACAGUUUUAAAUUGAGAAAUGCUCUUCACUGGUUUAGUAGUUCACCACCUUUCUCACUCUGUUGCCCUUUUUAUUCCCCUGACUUGAACGACAGAUAUAUAUGGCAUGUGUCAAACAUGGACAGAGAGGGUUUAGUGGAUGAUAAGGUUCCCUUAGUGAAAAGCUAAAAUGGCUCAGCAAGUUUUCUUCUCAGAGUGGGAGUUUCAUACUAUGAUUCUAGCAUCCGUCAGCUUCAUGUGCUGGAUGUUUGGGAAGAUGGCAGCAUGGAAUAUCCUCUGAUUGAUCUAGUGAAAUAUCAAGCAAAGCCCCUAAUGAUAUAUGCUAGCACUAAAAGUGAGGAGUCUUUCUUGGCUGCUUUGCAACGGAGUGACGGGAUAUCUGAGGCUCCCACAGUGAAGCUUGUGAAGAGUUCAAUUUUCAGCUAUGAACAGGCGUGGCACAGAUUGAUAUACCUACGAGUAACAGGAAUGGAUGAUGGAUUAAACAUCAAGGAGAGAAUUUUUUAUCUGAGUUCUAUGAUGGACGUGGGAAGUGAUGUUCAAAUUCGUGCUAGUGGGGGUCUUCUUGCCAUACUGGAAAAUGAAAGGAUCGUGGACACGCUUGAACAAAAGGAACUUGGAACUUCAUCAAUAACGAUUGAUUCUGUCAUAGAAAUUUCUUUAAACAAAUUUUUAAAACUCGAUGCAACAGCUUUGGAAGCAUUGCAGAUAUUUCAAACCGACAAACACCCAAGCCAUAUGGGCAUUGGAAGAGCAAAAGAAGGGUUCUCUGUAUUUGGCAUGAUGAAUAAGUGUGUGACACCCAUGGGUAGACGCCUCUUGAGAAACUGGUUCCUGAGGCCAUUGGUGGAUCUUGAAAACUUGAAUAAGCGACUUAAUGCUAUAACGUUCUUUAUUUCUUCCGAGGAAUUGAUGCAUUCUUUACGUGAAACUCUAAAGACUGUCAAGGACAUUCCCCAUAUACUCAAGAAAUUCAAUUCCCCGAGCUCAACAUAUUCUUCUGGUGAUUGGACUUCAUUCUUGAAGAGUGUUUGCUCCCUUCUGCACGUGAAUAAAAUAUUUGAAGUUGGCAUGUCAGAGAAUCUUAGAGACAACAUGAAGUACUUAAAUUUGGACAUUGUUGAGAAGGCCAAUUCAUGCAUUACAACAGAGUUAGCUUAUGUUUAUGAAUUGGUUAUUGGCGUCUUAGAUGUUAGUAGAAGCAAAGAGAAAUCAUAUGAGACAAUUGUGAAGGAGGGUUUUUGUGAUGAGUUGGAUGAGCUGAGGGAAAUCUAUGAGGAAUUGCCUCAAUUUUUGGAGGAGGUUACAUCAAUGGAAGUUGCUCAAUUUCCUCAGUUGUGUAAAAACAAGCUUGACCCCUGUAUAGUCUAUAUACAUCAAAUAGGGUAUUUAUUAUGCAUAUUUGAAGAGAAACUUGAAGAAGGCACAUUAGAGAUCCUACGAGACUUUGAAUUUGCUUUCUCUGAUGUGGAUGGAGAUAUAAAGAGAUACUUUUACCGUAGUCCAAAAACACGAGAAUUGGAUAAUCUACUUGGAGACAUUUAUCACAAAAUUUUAGAAGACAUGGAGAGGGCAAUUAUUAGAGACUUGGUGUCACAUAUACUUGUUUUCUCUCUGCAUCUGCUUAAGGCUGUAGAUUUCGCGGCUGAGCUUGAUUGCUUUUUAUCACUAGCACUGAUUGCUCGUCAAAACAACUAUGUAAGGCCAGUUUUAAGUGCAGAUAGCAUGCUUGAUAUUAAGAAUGGAAGGCACAUUUUGCAGGAAAUGGCUGUCGAUACGUUUAUUCCAAAUGACACGAAGAUUUUUGAUGAUGGAAGAGUUAUUAUCAUUACUGGCCCAAACUAUUCUGGUAAAAGUAUCUACAUAAAACAGGUUGCUCUUAUUGUAUUCUUGUCUCAUAUAGGAAGCUUUGUUCCAGCAGAUGCUGCAACCGUGGGUUUGACUGAUAGAAUAUUUUGUGCUAUGGGAAGCAAGCAUAUGACUGCAGAACAAUCAACUUUUAUGAUUGACUUACUUCAAGUUGGGAUGAUGCUCAGGCAGGCGACGUGUCAAUCUUUGUGCUUGAUAGAUGAAUUUGGUAAAGGUACCCUUACAGAAGAUGGCAUUGGUCUUCUUGGUGGAACCAUCGACCACUUUGCAAGUUCUAAUGACUCUCCAAAGGUGUUGGUGUGCACUCAUCUAACUGAGCUAAUUAAUGAAAGUCUACUGCCAAUGUGUAAAAGGAUCAAGUUCUACAACAUGAGCGUGAUACGACCCGACAAUGAUUGCACUGAAAAUGAAGAUAUUGUUUUUCUUUAUCGUUUGGUCCCAGGACACGCACUUCCUAGCUAUGGUCUGCAUUGUGCGUUACUUGCUGGUAUAUCUCAAAGACAGAUGAGUUUAAAACAUUUCUGCAUUCUUCAAAUUGAAAGUAAUCAUUAUUGCUGGGAAUUAAUCUUAUUUCUUUCACAGGCGUUCCUGAUGAGGUUAUUAAGAGAGCAGCCUUUGUUUUGGAUGCUAUGGGGAAUAACAAGCAUGUUGAGCGGCUGCACAACGAGAAUUUAUCCGCUCAGGACAAGCUAUACCAGGACGCGGUGGACAAGUUGCUAGGACUUGAUGUUAACAAGUGUGAUCUCAGCCGUUUCUUUCAGGGCAUAUUUCCUUCUUAAUCCAACAUCUUUUAAGUUUCCAAUUGUAGCAUCUUCGGAGAGACUUUCAAGUAUGGUUUACAGAAGAUUCCGUCCCCAAGUGGAGGUAAUACAGACAACAUUAAGGGGGAAUUGUUAAAAUAACAUCUUUUUGCUAAUGCUUUGAUACCAGUUCCAUUUUAGUUCCA